rnacentral:rRNA from 1 species
AAUCUGGGGUCUGCGACCCCCGAGUUGUAAUCUCGAGAGGCCACCUCCGGGAGGGUCCCGGCACGUGUUCCUUGGAACAGGACGUCAGAGAGGGUGAGAAUCCCGUUCAUUGCCGCGCGGCUGCUCCCUCCGUGAGGCGCCUUCGACGAGUCGAGUUGUUUGGGAAUGCAGCUCCAAGUGGGUGGUAAAUUUCAUCUAAGGCUAAAUACUGGCGGGAGACCGAUAGCGCACAAGUAGAGUGAUCGAAAGAUGAAAAGCACUUUGAAAAUAGAGUUAAAAAGUACGUGAAAUUGUUGAAAGGGAAGCGCUUGAGACCAGACUCAGGGCGGGGCAAACAGCCUUGCCCCCGACCGGGCGGCGCACUUGCCCCGACCCUGGGCCAGCAUCAGUUGGUGUGGCGGGACAAAGGCGCGGGGAACGUGCCUCCCCCUCGAGGGAGGGUUAUAGCCCGGCGUCCGAUGCCGCCGACACCGACUGAGGACCGCGCUUCGGCCAGGAUGCUGGCUCAAUGGUCCCCAGCGACCCGUCUUGAAACACGGACCAAGGAGUCUAACAUCUAUGCGAGUGUUUGGGCAUCAAACCCUUACGCGCAAUGAAAGUGAGCCGAGGUGGGAACCCGCCCCGAUCGGCGGGCGCACCAUCGACCGAUCCCGAUGUGCUCGGAAGGAUUUGAGUA